rnacentral:rRNA from 1 species
AAAGAAGACCCUGUUGAGCUUGACUCUAGUCUGACUUUGUGAAGAGACAUGAGAGGUGUAGCAUAAGUGGGAGUUUAGGGACUCCUCUUGAUUAUAGUUUCGGCUGUAAUUAAGACCCCUUAACACCAAUGAAAUACCACUACUCUCAUCGUUUCUUUACUUACACGGUGAAAAGGAGAUUGAGAUAGUGUCUCUCUGUUUUUACUGGACUUCGGUUCAGUAGCAGGAGGCCACCUAUCUCUAAAUUCUAGAGCUAAAUGUGGUUCCAUCCAUAUAUGCUAAAGACACCUAAUUGAGACUUGUUCUUCGGGACUUGGAUUGAUUAAAGACUUUAGUUUGGUUGGUAGCAAGUGUUUAUCAGCAAUGAUAAACAUAACCACAUGAUCCUCGCCGUGGACAUUGUCAGGCGGGCAGUUUGACUGGGGCGGUACAUCUGUCAAAAGGUAACGCAGGUGUCCUAAGGCCAGCUCAGUGAGGCCAGAAACCUCACGUAGAGCAAAAGGGCAAAAGCUGGCUUGAUCCAGACUUUCAGUACGAAUACGGACCGCGAAAGCGGGGCCUAUCGAUCCUUUCGAUGAAUGAGAGUUUCAUCCGAGAGGUGUCAGAAAAGUUACCACAGGGAUAACUGGCUUGUGGCAGCCAAGCGUUCAUAGCGACGUUGCUUUUUGAUCCUUCGAUGUCG